UGCCAGCAGCCGCGGUAAUACGAAGGGUGCAAGCGUUACUCGGAAUUACUGGGCGUAAAGCGUGCGUAGGCGGUUUGUUAAGUCCGCUGUGAAAGCCCUGGGCUCAACCUGGGAAUUGCAGUGGAUACUGGCAAGCUAGAGUGCGGUAGAGGAUGGUGGAAUUCCCGGUGUAGCGGUGAAAUGCGUAGAGAUCGGGAGGAACACCCGUGGCGAAGGCGGCCAUCUGGACCAGCACUGACGCUGAGGCACGAAAGCGUGGGGAGCAAACAGGAUUAGAUACCCUGGUAGUCCACGCCCUAAACGAUGCGAACUGGACGUUGGGUGGACUUAGCCACUCAGUGUCGAAGCUAACGCGUUAAGUUCGCCGCCUGGGGAGUACCGGUCGCAAGACUAAACUCAAAGGAAUGACGG
rnacentral:rRNA from 1 species